GACGAACGCUGGCGGCGUGCUUAACACAUGCCGGUCGAACGGAAAGGCCCUGCUUUUGUGGGGUGCUCGAGUGGCGAACGGGUGAGUAACACGUGAGUAACCUGCCCUUGACUUUGGGAUAACUUCAGGAAACUGGGGCUAAUACUGGAUAGGAGCUCCUGCUGCGUGGUGGGGGUUGGAAAGUUUCGGCGGUUGGGGAUGGACUCGCGGCUUAUCAGCUUGUUGGUGGGGUAGUGGCUUACCAAGGCUUUGACGGGUAGCCGGCCUGAGAGGGUGACCGGCCACAUUGGGACUGAGAUACGGCCCAGACUCCUACGGGAGGCAGCAGUGGGGAAUAUUGCACAAUGGGCGGAAGCCUGAUGCAGCAACGCCGCGUGCGGGAUGACGGCCUUCGGGUUGUAAACCGCUUUCGCCUGUGACGAAGCGUGAGUGACGGUAAUGGGUAAAGAAGCACCGGCUAACUACGUG
rnacentral:rRNA from 1 species